AGCAUAGUUAGUUCUAUUUAUGUCAUAAACUCGUACAGCUAUAUCGAUCUAGUAGAAAAAAAUAAAUUUUAUAGACCAUAUAUGGUAGAAUUUCUUGAUACACAGAAGAGUAACAAAGCGUAUAUCGGUUUUAAAACUUUGAAUAAUUAUAUACUGUCUUCUUGAUGGGACAGUUUGAAUGACAGUUAUAUGCUAUAUGGUCCGAUAUACGCCAUCUCGACAAAUGAAAGAAGGAUGACGCGUACAAAAUUGUAAAGCGAUUUAUUAAAAACUGAAGAACCAGUUCAAUGGAUUCAGCUCGCCUACUAUAUAUAACAAUUUAUACACUUUAUACCGACGUUUCCCUCUGGGUGUUAUUGUAUAUGUAUAAAUUUGUGUAUUUGUAUAAAUUUUUUGUUAAAAUUUGCAGACACGUAGAAAAUUCUGAAUUAGCUGAAUUAAAAAAAUGGCAAAAUCCAAAUAGGCUUUGCAAAAUUAAAAUACCUUUAUGCAACUAUUCUUAGCCCUACCAUAAGUUCUAUUACAAGUUCAUACCGUUAUAAAUAUGAAACUAUACAAAUUUCUUUAACAUAGUUGAAUAUCUGCCCUAUUUUGAGGAAACUUCAGAACUGAUGAUGUGAAGAAGCUAUCUGAGGUUUGUUAUGGAGUUUAUUUUGUGUGGUUGUUCUUUAAAAAUAAUUUAAAAAACUUCCACAUAAGGUGAAAAAUAAGGUAAACAAACCAAAGUAAGGAAAUGGAUAGCCAAGAAUGGCGUAUAAAAACAACGAAGAACAACUCAGGAGCAACCGUAAUAAUACAUAAUGUUUUACAAGCGUCAUCCGGAGCUGCCACGUGGGAAGUUAACUGUGACCAUCACCAAAGCGCUGCAGAUUUCAUGGUCCAAGUUAACGAAUAGUUUAAAAACCUAAUGGCCAACUCACAUAGAGCUUUUGCUUUGCUUUGCAUUAGACAUUUAUUAUGACAGAAAAGUUCGAUGUACAAGGAUUGCCCGGAAAGUAAUAUGGCUGAGUCGAUUUAAAAAAAUAUAUUGAACCAAUCGUUACAAUUCUUUAAAAGCUUUCAAAAUAGGCUCCUUCUGCGUCGAUGUAUCGCUGCCAGAGCGAUUUCUAAGCAUUGCAAGCGCCACGGAUAGCCACGAGAGCCGCGGUGCAUGCUGCUUGGAUCCCCUCUGUCGUCUCAAAAUGCUUGCUUUUUCUCGGUGCUCCGUUACAAUGUCACAGAUUUUGAUAAAUUUAACAUCUGGGCAAUUAAACGAAUACUUAGUCGAUGGUCUGAGUUCACAACUUUGGGCACACGAGUCACAUUGUCGGUGUUUGUCGAAGUCGCAGGUCUCCGAGCACGGUCUUCAUCAGCGAUCUUUGCCCGGCUCUCCAAAAAAGCCUGGUGACCCCGAAACACACCACUUCUCGCUAAAGCAACAUUUGGGAAAGCCUGCUUGAUCAUAUCAAACGUUUCUGUCUCAGCUUGCACCACUUACAGGAACACGUCGCGGGAAAAUGUUUGUCCUGACUCUCCAGGUGCUCGGAGACAACUAGACAGCCGCUCAUUUGUUAGCUAGGAACGACCUCUACCGAAUCCAGUCGUUUCAGAUAAAAAAAUUUCGAUGCGAGCCAAGAAAUAUGUUGGACAAAUAUCAUGCUUCUACCAUUUGCCAAGCAAAAGUCGCUACUUUUAUUAGAGAGAAACACUGAAGGUUUAAUUGUAGCAUAAUCUUUGUUUUCUAGGCUUUGUUGUUUUAGUAAGUCACGUAAACAGAGAAAAGUUGUAUGUAACGGGUGAUUUUUUUGAGGUUAGGAUUUUCAUGCAUUAGUAUUUGACAGAUCACGUGGGAUUUCAGACAUGGUGUCAAAGAGAAAGAUGCUCAGUAUGCUUUGACAUUUCAUCAUGAAUAGACUUACUAACGAGCAACGCUUGCAAAUCAU